UACAGAGGAGCCAAGCGUUGUCCGGAUUGACUGGGCGUAAAGCGCACGCAGGCGGUCGCGCGCGUGGGGUGUGAAAUCUGGCCGCUUAACGGCCAGGCGCCAUCCCAUACGGCGCGACUGGAGGCUUGCAGAGGUCGGUGGAAUUCCCAGUGUAGCGGUGAAAUGCGUAGAUAUUGGGAGGAACACCAGUGGCGAAGGCGGCUCACUGGACCGGUACUGACGCUGAUGCGCGAAAGCGUGGGGAGCAAACGGG
rnacentral:rRNA from 1 species